rnacentral:rRNA from 1 species
UUUGGCCUACGGGGCGCAGCAGUGAGGAAUAUUGGUCAAUGGGCUUACGCCUGAACCAGCCAAGUCGCGUGAGGGAGUACUGCCCUAUGGGUUGUAAACCUCUUUUGUCGGGGAGCAAAAGCCGGACGUGUCCGGCUGUGAGAGUACCCGAAGAAAAAGCAUCGGCUAACUCCGUGCCAGCAGCCGCGGUAAUACGGAGGAUGCGAGCGUUAUCCGGAUUUAUUGGGUUUAAAGGGUGCGCAGGCGGAUUUUUAAGUCAGCGGUCAAAUCGUGGGGCUCAACCCCAUCCAGCCGUUGAAACUGGG